rfam:Aedes aegypti strain Liverpool supercont1.95 genomic scaffold, whole genome shotgun sequence.
UGCCCAGCAACUCCUAUCCCUACCUCCUCGUGAUACUGGCCGGGGUACGAGUAACCUUGGGUAAGAUCGGGUAACCAGCCCCGGUGGGAACUUUAGUCGUAUGCUGACAGGGGGAGG